GACCCGUAGCAAACAGCUCAGUAACACGUGGCCAAACUACCCUCUGGACGCGGACACCCUCGGGAAACUGAGGCUAAUCCGCGAUACGGCUCCCACGCUGGAAUGCGGGGAGCCGGAAAGGCUCCGGCGCCAGAGGAUGUGGCUGCGGCCGAUUAGGUAGACGGUGGGGUAACGGCCCACCGUGCCCAUAAUCGGUACGGGAUGUGAGAGCAAAUAGCCCGGAGAUGGAUUCUGAGACAAGAAUCCAGGCCCUACGGGGCGCAGCAGGCGCGAAACCUUUACACUGCACGCCAGUGCGAUAAGGGGACCCCGAGUGCGAGGGCAUACAGUCCUCGCUUUUGUACACCGUAAGGAGGUGUACGAAUAAGGGCUGGGCAAGACCGGUGCCAGCCGCCGCGGUAAUACCGGCAGCCCGAGUGAUGGCCGCUGUUAUUGGGCCUAAAGCGUCCGUAGCCGGCCGAACAAGUCUGUCGGGAAAUCCAUCCGCCUAACGGAUGGGCGUCCGGCAGAAACUGUUCGGCUUGGGGCCGGAAGAUCCGAGGGGUACGUCCGGGGUAGGAGUGAAAUCCCGUAAUCCUGGACGGACCGCCGGUGGCGAAAGCGCCUCGGAAGGACGGACCCGACGGUGAGGGACGAAAGCUGGGGUCUCGAACCGGAUUAGAUACCCGGGUAGUCCCAGCCGUAAAC
rnacentral:rRNA from 1 species